UUUUAUUCCUAAAAUCUCUCCAUAUCUCUAGUAGUUACAAAACUUAUAUCCAUUUGAUUUUCACUAGGAAUCUCCCUCAGGUUUUUCAAUUUCAAAGUUUUUAAUGGAUCCAAGCGAUUGCAUGAUCCAUUAGCGAUGAACGACAAGAGUAUUGUCAAACCAAAGAAAAAGGUUGGAGAAACUCCAAAAAAGGGAGAAGAAAAGUGACAUCUUUUUUCCCAACCUGCACUUCCUAAGAUUAUCUUCAAUGUAUCAUUCACUCUCCAUUACAUCAUAUGUUUGAGAUUAGACAGGUAUAACCAAAAGUCGCUUGAUACAAUGUUUUGCAAUGGGGAGUUGGGAGACCACACAGGAAUCUGUUCAGAUGGAUAUAUUAUACUUCGUCAAUCUUUCAUGUUAUGCCAUCUUGGUGAGACCAUCAUACGUAUCGAAGAGUUUCUAAUGGUUGAAGAUGGUAGGUAUAAAUUGUAUUUUUGGGGUCAGAUUGCAUUCUAUAAGCUAAUUACAUCACUCAGAUAAGACUUCAACCAAAAUAAAUGAAUGUAUCGCUUAUUUGAUAUGCCUUAUACACUCAACGUAUGAAUUUACGAAUGUGAAUCUAGUCUAAAUCCAGAGUUUGCUGUUAAAGUAGCAAAUGAUUUCCCAAGAUUUGUAAUUGGACGGUCCUGAUUGUAAAUCUUGUUGUAAAUAAUAUUUUUUGUAUUAUACAUAAUAUUGCCAUAACAUUCAACCAUUUAAAAUGCAAAAUGCAUGUUCAAACAUUGUACUAACACCAGAUGAAGUGGAAGUCCUUGACUUACCUGAUGUUCAAGAUGCUCAUAGUGCUGAACCAUCCACAACAGCUGUUCAUGCAAACAAAAGAUAAGUCAGGUUUUGAGAAUUUCUCAACAAGCCCUCCUGGUCGUUUAUUGAGAAAAUCAUCACGUGUAUCUAGUACAUCAUCUCCGCCACCACCCAAAAGAAGAAAGAAAAUUGAUACACCUAAAAGAAUUGAAACCUAAAUUGUUAGAGCAGUUAAGACCGCCAUUAAACCAGUCAUUCGCAAUGCAGAUGAAGAACCUACCCCACAUGCUAAUGUAUCUUCUGCCCAUGUCUCUUCACAAGUCUAAAAAAAUAAGUCUGUGUAUCUCGAUAUUGAUGAACUGAAACAACAUAUGAAGGAAUACGUAAGUAAUGAUAUCAAUUUUUAUGUUUAUUCAUAAAUAUAAAACUAAAUGUUAAAUUUUUUUAAUAGGUUGAAAGUAAAUUUGAGUAUCUUGUGAAUUUGAUAAUGGCAAGUAACUCUGAGGUGAUGAGUUCUAGGUAUAGGGAGGACGACCAACAACCAAAGGAGAUGGGAAGCAAGUCAACACGUACAUGGUUGAAGCUUUCGAUAAAGAAGGCAAUGAUGGACAUCAAACAAGUACCUUUAAGUUUGAUCAACAAUCAACCUCACGGGUACAAAUGGAUUUUGCCAACAACAAUCAAAACAUUGGUGUACCUGAUUUUGAUGUUGAAAAUCAGACUGAAGAUACAUUGAAGAAUCAUCAAGAAAUGAAGGACGUUUGAGAACAUCAAUCCUCAGAUGCAUUUAUUCAUCAUUAUACUACAGAAACAUCUGAGCAUAAGAAAGAUGAUCCAUCAUCACAAAUUCCUCAUCAUUUAUUCGAAGGAACAAUGAAUGAAGAUGCUUUAUUAAUGUUCAACACAACACCAAUCAAUCUGUGCCAAAUUUAUUAUAUUUGAUACAUCGGAUCUGCAACAUCUGGUACAAUAUCAUCUGAUACUCAAGAAGUCAUGAAUACACUUAUUGUUGAUCUAGGAAGAUUGUCUAUUUCAUGCUAAACUAGUAAAUAGUGCAAAUUCACAGGAGUUAACCAACAAUCAAAAUUCGCUUUCGGACAGUUAAUUAUCCACUGAUAUUUCAAUAACAGAGAUUUCUAUCCGAAGCGUUACAAAUACUCCUCAUGCACGUAUCAGGAUGCCUUCAAAAAACUGCAAAUCUCCCUAUUUAACUUCAUUUGGGGCAAGUGAAAAAGGAGAAGAGGCCAUAGAGGAUGUAAUUCAUCCAAAUUUUUCAUUUGAAGGAUGUGAGAUCACAAACCGAGCUCCUUCAUAUCUGAUUGAUGAGUUUGUUGAGUGAGUUACUACAUGUCUUCUUAAAACUAAUGCUAAAAAGAAACCAUCAGAGGGUAAGUACAAAGCAAGAGCCUCUUCAUUGGAUUUUGAAAUGAUGGAUUAUGUUGUUGCAUAUCCGUCGAAUAAAAAUUGAUUUUAUGCCAUGUCCCAGCCCUAAAACUGCUGGACUAAUCAAGUAAUUUUGACAUAUAUAUUUAAAUUUCACCUGUCUGCAAAUGUAUCAUAUAUAGGUUUCUUAAUGUG